AUUGAACGCUGGCGGCAGGCCUAACACAUGCAAGUCGAGCGGAUGAAGGGAGCUUGCUCCUGGAUUCAGCGGCGGACGGGUGAGUAAUGCCUAGGAAUCUGCCUGGUAGUGGGGGAUAACGUCCGGAAACGGGCGCUAAUACCGCAUACGUCCUGAGGGAGAAAGUGGGGGAUCUUCGGACCUCACGCUAUCAGAUGAGCCUAGGUCGGAUUAGCUAGUUGGUGGGGUAAAGGCUUACCAAGGCGACGAUCCGUAACUGGUCUGAGAGGAUGAUCAGUCACACUGGAACUGAGACACGGUCCAGACUCCUACGGGAGGCAGCAGUGGGGAAUAUUGGACAAUGGGCGAAAGCCUGAUCCAGCCAUGCCGCGUGUGUGAAGAAGGUCUUCGGAUUGUAAAGCACUUUAAGUUGGGAGGAAGAGCAGUAAGUUAAUACCUUGCUGUUUUGACGUUACCAACAGAAUAAGCACCGGCUAACUUCGUG
rnacentral:rRNA from 1 species